CUUAGGAGGCCUGGGCAAAUUGCCAGAGAUUACAUUUCAGCAAGCCAGAUUUGUUUCCAGACACCAAAAAUAGUAUCACUUAACGUUUCUUGACCCUCACCUAUCUUCUGAAAAGAAUCUCCGUAUGUUUGCUACUAAAGUGAGAUUUGAGGCUUUCUGGCUAGAAUUCUGUACAGUGUUGCCCUGCACUGUUAUGUGUUCUUGUACUGAAGGAAAAUUAAUCUGUCAGGCUCAGCAUCAACUUGUUUCAAUGCUAAGUCCUAUCUUGAACUGGGGCCUAUACACUGAAAGCAGGACAUGAGAGUACCCUAAGUUCCUUGCUUCUGGAACAUUUCUUGGUCAGUCAAGAUCUGAGAUAUUAUUCUUUCUAGGACAAGUAAUUCCUGUAUCAGAGACUCAUUUCUGAAACAAGGACUAAAAGCACCAAGACAUCAUCCUACUAACGCAGAGCAAUUGUAUGGAGUCACCAGGAAGAUUUUUUAAUCAAAAUUUGAAUGUCACUCUGGUUAUAAAAGAAGUGAGACUACUAGGUAGGUCUUCAGUUCAAUGGAAAUGAAUUAGAGAUGUAAUUUAAACUUAUAGUUAAGGUGUGGCUUGAGUAGAAUCAUUGAGGUGGAAAAGAACACUAAGAUAAUCUUAUCCUACUGUUAACCCAUGAUAUGCCAUAUCAUAUUGAUAAGAAAGUGAAGAGGAAUGAGAAAAGACUGAAGGUUAGAUUCUGAGAAGUUGUUUACAAUAAUUUAUUUAGGGUGCUCAAUUUGUGUUAUUUGCUCAUAUUACAUGCUUUUGUUGUUAUGCAACUUAGAAUAUAAAAAAUAUCAUGAAGGUAGAGAAAGUGCAGAACUAAAUAUUCAGGAAAAGUAUUCAGUAUGUAAGAGAAAGUGGGAAUUGUUUUCUUAUAAUAAAUUAAGUAGAGGUUAAAAAAAAAUUGUAAACUAGAAUACACUGCUUUAAAUACAAGAUGUUUUCUU
rnacentral:lncRNA from 7 species